CCGCGGCGCCGCGAAUGGCGGGGGCUGGCAUCUGCGUGCGAGCGCCGAGCGCAUCGAGCCGAUGGGAUCCGUCUGCUCGGCGCUCUCCGGCCGGGCCUGGGCCCCGUGUCGCUGUCCCCGCCCCAGCCGGCGCAGGAGGGGAGUCGGGGGAGCCUCCGGCCGAGGAGACCCACGCACAGGCGAGCCCCCAUAGAGGAACCCCCCCAGGAGAGGAGAUCCCCGGUCUGACCUGAAUGUUUUUGGAGGACUUCUUGAAACUGACAACAAACUGAAAAAAGUCACUUAUUCACCCAGUUCUACUCCAUAUCUGAGUGCAAUCUGAACUCCAACCUAGCUCAGAAGAGCUAAAGAGCUGAUGGACCUCUUCAUCCUUUCCUGAAAGGUGUUCCAUGGCUGAGGCAGGAAGCUUUCCAGCCUCCGGACCCACAGCUGAGCCAGGACUGACGGCUGGCAGACUCCCCAUUCUGUGACACGAGCACAGAGAACCCUGGCUGGAGCUGGGACCUUAGGGCCUGUUAGCCUCCAUGGCAGCGUGCCAGCUCCUGGAUCCCUGGCUGGAACAGGCAGUUGUGACCUCAAAAGCCUCUUCAGGCCAACUGGCAGAGGGGCCCCCAUACUGUAAUUCACAUCAGGCCUGACACACUCAUUGCCCCAACACACUGUUGUUAUAAUAUAUAUCUCAGAGAUAUCAUGUAACGUAUCAUAAGUAAAAUGGUAACAUGCUGGUACCAAAAAUCACUGCAUGAUGUAUGUAUGAGUUGGGUACAGACAGAUACAGAUGUGUGCGGGAAAUAUGUUCUUAAAAUGCAUUUGGAAGGCAGAGCAUAAAACCCAGUCUGCCCAAGACACAGGAAUGUCCAUGUACCUGUUUGAGCACUUUGGUCACUGGCAGAAUACAAUGGAAGUAUAUUUACGUAUAAGUCAGGUUAAGAUUUUGUCAUGGUUAUUUUUAGUAAAAGUCACGGACAGGUCGUGGGCAAUAAACAAAAAUUCACAGAAGCCCAUGAUUUGUCCUUGACUUUUACUGAAAAUAAUGGGGUGGAGGCUGCUGAUUGCUGGGGGAGGAGAAACCGAAGCCUGAGCACUGCAGUGACCCUGCCACCAUGGGGGCUGACAGCUCCAUCUCCAGCCCCUGACUCUACUGCUGUGGAGGGGGCUGAAGUUGAAGAAGUCACAGAGGUUUGUUAAAGUCAAGGAAUCAGUGACCUCUGUGACUAAAUUGUAUCCUUAUAUAUAAGGUAAACUAAGCCGCCAAGCUAAAUGAGCUGUGGAGAUAACUGUUUAACAAUCACCCCAGGGAACAGAAUCUGCACCCCAAGAAGCCUUCCUGGCUCUUGAGGCAGAGACAGUGAACUUUGAGUGAUAAAAGGGGAGCAAAAAGACUUUGUAGUUAUCCAUCACUAUGGUCCCAAGAGAGUACAGCAUCCUUUGAACCUACGAAAGCUGGAGUCUAUUGGCCAGAAAGGCAAGAGCUGUUGGGAACUUGAUGGCAGUGAGAAACCUGCUUAAAUAAAGAUUGUAACUAGCUUAAAAAUUAAGUUUUAGUCACCUAAAAGCAUGUUUUGUUUUGUUUUUGGUUUGUAAGCAUACCUGUUGUUCUUAUUCUUGCUUAGUAUCCCUCAAAUCUCUGUUCUUCGUUAGUAAACUUAUUCUGGUUUUAUUUACAAACCAUCUCGGUGCUAUGUAUUUAAGUGGAGUGAGAGUCCUCUGCUAAACCAACAGGCUUGUGUGUGUUCUCUCUCUUUGGAGGCACCGAUCUUGAUUGUUUCUGUGUGUCAGUGAAAGAGGCUGGACACUGCAGAGAGACAUCUCUGGGGAACUAGGGAAUUGGUGUUCACCAGUUUUUACCUGUGUGAUGCAGACUAAAGGGGAAGGUGACUGUCUUCACUAAUAUUGUCACCAUUGUUACAAAAUUGUGAAAUCUUGUACAAAGUAUACCCUGUGAAGUAUCACUGGAAAGGUUGUAAUCCGCUAAGUAGUAUUAUCCUGUUUGAAUGUGUGGAUCAUCAUUUUAUAUGAAGUUAUGAAACUUUGCUAUGUGUUUCGUAUCUCAAAAAUGUUGUGAGGUCAAGGAAUGCCCACAGAUUAACUCUUCAGAGAUCACAAAUGGUAAACAAGGGUGAAGACACCUCAGAUGGCAAGUUGCAGAGGGGUGCAAGCAAAGAUUUGCAAGGGGCGACUCAUGGGAGCUGCACAAAGGGCCAAAUGCACCUCCAGCAGGGUCAAGUGCCCCCAGCAGCUGGCCUGGGCAGGGAGAGGAAAGGGCGGAGCCAGAGCCAGAAGGGAAGAGGUGGGGCCAGAGCCUCUCCUCUUCCAGCCACGCUGCCUGGGACGCUGCUCGGUGAGCGCAGUGGCUGACUGAGAGAGCGCCUGGCUGUGGCAGCAGCAGGUUGUCCCCUGCCCUGGCUCAGCUUCUGGAAACAGUGGCCAAACAAGCCAGAGCCCC